UACGUAGGGUGCGAGCGUUGUUCGGAAUUACUGGGCGUAAAGGGCGCGUAGGCGGCCCUCUUUGUCGCGUGUGAAAGCCCCGGGCUCAACCUGGGAACGGCGCGCGAAACGGGGGGGCUGGAGUUCGGGAGAGGAGCGUGGAAUUCCCAGUGUAGAGGUGAAAUUCGUAGAUAUUGGGAAGAACACCGGUGGCGAAGGCGGCGCUCUGGACCGGUACUGACGCUGAUGCGCGAAAGCGUGGGGAGCAAACGGG
rnacentral:rRNA from 1 species